rnacentral:rRNA from 1 species
CGGAGCGACACCGGCGUGUGGGAUUGGAAGUCUUUUCGGGAUUGUAAACCACUGUCGGAGGGGAAGACAAAAAAGAACGGUACCCU